AGACGGGGCGGGGCGAUCCGUAGGCAGGGCCUGACGCCGCAGUUCUCCUUGGCCGGAGCCUCAACGGAUGGGCGGGGAGGGGGCGGGGCCGGGCAACCCGGAAGGUCCGGCGUCCCAGCCGCCUACCUCGCUGGGACCCUGGUCUUGCUGUCCCCCGCUGGCCUCCUGCCCAAGCGACUGCGGCCAGGAUGGGCCGGAAGGUGACCGUGGCCACCUGCGCACUCAACCAGUGGGCCCUGGACUUCGAGGGCAAUUUGCAAAGAAUUUUAAAGAGUAUUGAAAUUGCCAAAAACAGAGGAGCAAGAUACAGGCUUGGACCAGAGCUGGAAAUAUGCGGCUACGGAUGUUGGGAUCAUUAUUACGAGUCGGACACCCUCUUGCACUCGUUUGAAGUCCUAGCGGCCCUUCUGGAGUCUCCCGUCACUCAGGACAUCAUCUGCGACGUGGGGAUGCCUGUAAUGCACCGAAACGUCCGCUACAACUGCAGAGUGAUAUUCCUCAACAGGAAGAUCCUGCUCAUCAGACCCAAGAUGGCCUUGGCCAAUGAAGGCAACUACCGCGAGCUGCGCUGGUUCACCCCGUGGUCGAGGAGUCGGCACACAGAGGAGUACUUUCUGCCUCGGAUGAUACAGGACCUGACAAAGCAGGAAACCGUACCCUUCGGAGAUGCGGUGCUGGUGACAUGGGACACCUGCAUUGGAAGUGAGAUCUGUGAGGAGCUCUGGACACCCCACAGCCCACACAUCGACAUGGGCCUGGAUGGCGUGGAGAUCAUCACCAACGCCUCGGGCAGCCACCACGUUCUGCGCAAAGCCAACACCAGGGUGGAUCUCGUGACUAUGGUCACCAGCAAGAACGGUGGGAUUUACUUGCUGGCCAACCAGAAGGGUUGCGACGGGGACCGCCUGUACUACGACGGCUGCGCCAUGAUCGCCAUGAACGGAAGCGUCUUUGCUCAAGGAUCCCAGUUUUCUCUGGAUGACGUGGAAGUCCUGACGGCCACGCUGGAUCUGGAGGACGUCCGGAGCUACAGGGCGGAGAUUUCAUCUCGAAACCUGGCGGCCAGCAGGGCGAGCCCCUACCCCAGAGUGAAGGUGGACUUUGCCCUCUCAUGCCACGAGGACUUGCUGGCACCCAUCUCUGAGCCCAUCGAGUGGAAAUACCACAGCCCUGAGGAGGAGAUAAGCCUUGGACCUGCCUGCUGGCUCUGGGAUUUUUUAAGACGAAGUCAACAGGCAGGGUUUUUGCUGCCCUUGAGUGGCGGGGUGGACAGCGCAGCCACCGCCUGCCUCAUCUACUCCAUGUGCUGCCAGGUCUGCGAGGCCGUGAGGAGUGGAAAUGAGGAAGUGCUGGCUGAUGUCCGCACCAUUGUGAACCAGAUCAGCUACACCCCCCAGGAUCCCCGAGACCUCUGUGGACGCAUACUGACCACCUGCUACAUGGCCAGCAAGAACUCCUCCCAGGAGACGUGCACCCGGGCCAGAGAGUUGGCCCAGCAGAUUGGAAGCCACCACAUCAGUCUCAACAUCGAUCCAGCCGUGAAGGCCGUCAUGGGCAUCUUCAGCCUGGUGACGGGGAAGAGCCCUCUGUUUGCAGCUCAUGGAGGAAGCAGCAGGGAAAACCUGGCGCUGCAAAAUGUGCAGGCUCGAAUACGGAUGGUCCUCGCCUAUCUGUUUGCUCAGUUGAGCCUCUGGUCUCGGGGCGUCCACGGUGGGCUCCUCGUGCUGGGAUCCGCCAACGUGGAUGAGAGUCUCCUGGGCUACCUGACCAAGUACGACUGCUCCAGUGCGGACAUCAACCCCAUAGGCGGGAUCAGCAAGACGGACCUCAGGGUCUUCGUCCAGUUCUGCAUCCAGCGCUUCCAGCUUCCUGCCCUGCAGAGCAUCCUGUUGGCGCCGGCCACUGCAGAGCUGGAGCCCUUGGCUGAUGGACAGGUGUCCCAGACUGACGAGGAAGAUAUGGGGAUGACAUAUGCGGAGCUCUCAGUCUAUGGGAAACUCAGGAAGGUGGCCAAGAUGGGGCCCUACAGCAUGUUCUGCAAACUCCUCGGCAUGUGGAGACACAUCUGCACCCCGAGACAGGUCGCUGACAAAGUGAAGCGGUUUUUCUCCAAGUACUCCAUGAACAGACACAAGAUGACCACGCUCACACCCGCGUACCACGCCGAGAACUACAGCCCUGAGGACAACAGGUUUGAUCUGCGACCAUUUCUGUACAACACAAGCUGGCCUUGGCAGUUUCGGUGCAUAGAAAAUCAGGUGCUACAGCUCGAGAGGGCAGAGCCACAGUCCCUGGACGGCGUGGACUGAGGCCGGUUCCUUCCUGGAGGCCUCCAGUCCUCGGGGACCCCAGCACCUCAUCAUCAGCAUUGCUGGAGCCAAGGGUGAAUUACUUGGAAACUGCACAACACACCCGCUGUUUUCAACAGAGUUCAGUCACCUCUUGAGGGCUCUUCUGAUUCUUAUCUUGGUAGAGCAUCUCCUCAAGGAUUUCUGCAGGAGAUCCACCACGGAGAGGCCCUGGCCAUUCUACGGAAGAGGCGCAAGGAAGACUUCUGAGUCCGCUGCUUCACCUUUUGACAUCAGAGGGCCAAAAACUCCACCCUCAGAUCAGGCUAACACCUCUGGUUUUUGCACGUGGAGAGGGGGUGAAGCUGGAUUGCGCAUAUGCCUGGUUUUGGGUCUGCAGUUGGUUCCUGCGGGUGGGUUCGUGGUCUCGCUGACUUCAAGAAUGCACCCAUGGACUUUCACGGACCUUCGCAGUGAGUGUUACAGCUCUUAAAGAUGGCACAGACCCAAAGACUCAGUGGCAGCAAGGUUUAUUGUUUAUUCGCGAAAGGACAAAGCUUCCACAGCGUGGAAGUGGACCCGAGUGGGCUGCCGCUGCUGGCUGUGUGGCCAGCUUUUAUUCCCCUAUUGGCCCCGCCCAUGUUCCGUUUCUGUCCUAUCAGAGUGCCUUUUUUUCAAUCCUCCCUGCGAUUGGCUACUUUCAGAAUCCUGCGCAGAUUGGUGUGUUUUACAGAGUGCGGAUUGGUGUGUUUUACAAUCCUCUUGCAAGACAGGAAAGUUGCUGAUUGGUGCAUUUUACAAUCCUCUUGUAAGACAGAAAAGUUCCCCAAGUCCCCACUGGACCCAAGAAGUCCAGCUGGCCUCAUGUCUCAGUUUCUCCUCUUAUCAAUAUUCAUGUCCCUCCCACAGCUUAUUGAAUAUGCAUAUUCAGCCACCCCCACUCAGUGUAGAUCUCUGCUUUAUUCUUCCCUCCCUCCAAGUGUCUGUUUCCAGCUUCCUACCAGAGGCUGCGCCUCCCAACCAGUCAGAACAGCCACACUCAGCCCGCAGCACUUUAUGAGAAGUAAAGCGCUCCUUUCCAAAUUGACGACCUCGUCCUUCUUCAGUUAACACCUCCCUCUCUCAAUGACGAUGAUGGAACAUGUCCAGGUGUUGGUGACACAGCUGCAUGGCUGCGUGUGGGAUAAAGUCGCUGCCCCUUCAGAACUCACACCCCCCUGGAGUGGGACACACACCUCUAAGAACAAACAAGGAUGAGAGCAGAGCCAGCUUGACAUCGUGGGAAUCAAUAAAUGAAGCAGAAAAUGCAAGGUGGUGGGGGUAGCUAUCUCGGGACGGGGUGUCAGAGGUGGAUCUGAGUUGGGCAGACAGGAGGGACGCAGUCCAGGGCGGUCCUGGGUGAGUCUGUUCCAUGUAAGGAACUGCCAGCACACAGGUCGUAAGGAGGAGUGCAGUGUGGCCCCGGCACCAAUCCAGGGCUGGAUGAAGAAUGAUUGAGGCAGUCUGAAGAUGACACCAAAUCAUUCUCCUCCCACGGAGAGGUGGACUUUCUCUUCUCUCUGCAAUCUGGGCUGGCCUCAGUGACUUGAGGAGGGAGAAAUACUCUAGGAUUCCUAGGCUGGGUAAUAAGGCACCUUCCAGCCUCUGCUCGAGUGACCUCCUAGGAAGUACAGCUGCCCUGAGCCCACCAUGCUGUGAGCAAGCCCAAGCCAGCCGUGGGAAGAGGCCGUGAGGUGGGGGAGGGGAGGGAGAUCUGUCCGGCGUCACCUGUUGUAGCCAUCCCAUAGGUGUGUGAACACAGCAUCUUGGACAAGCCAGCCCCAGCUGACAUAAUUUACAGAAAAACCAAGGAACCCUGCAGACAGCCGGAACUGAGGUCCCAAAAUACAGCCCAGCCAAGCCAUGCUGCCAUCGUUAGCCAUUGGUUCCUUCCCAAUUGAGACCCCACAAAUCAUGCGGCCUGUGCCACCAUCCAGUGCCAGAUCUGAACUACUGAUCCACUGAGCUUUGGGCUGAUUGGUUCUGCAACGAUGGGUGGCCAAGGCCACGGUCAAAUCCAGCUGGAGAGGUGGAUGGGGCCAGUGUCAGGGGUUUGGAUUUCACCCCAAGUCGGCUGAGGCACACUGGAAUGUCGUAAGCCUGCACAUCCACUCAUCACACAUUUUAACCGCAUCUGAGUGUGGACCGUACCGAUGGGUUCCUGCACCUGCAGCCUCCACACCAUUGCUGGUGCCCUGCCUCCUAGCUGGAGUAUCCUUCCUGUCUCUUGGCUGCUCUUUGUACCCAUCAUGGUCCCCCCACCACCCUCCAAGUUCUGCUCCAAGCUUUGUUUUCCUGCAAGAGAAGAACCUGUCCAGACAAUAGUUUCAAAGCAGCGGGAAGCUCUGCUCACGUGUCCCUAAGGACCAUGCUGUGUGAAAUUCCCUUCUGUAAUCACAGAGCCCAUUGCCCUGGCCACAGGGACUGGUCCAGGAAUAGGGAGGAGGUAGACAGAGGAUGCCUCCUUCCCCACUGCUGAGAACCCUGCCAUCCUCAGCCACAGUUGCCACAGAGAAGAUACCACAUCCCUGGGGGAAUCAGCAGGAAUCAGGUAGAGAGUGGCACUGCUCUGGGGAGGGAGGGCGUCUCACAGCAUCAAACGUCAAAAACCCACAACAUUGACCCAGUCCUGCCAAGAUGGAACCCUGCAUGAGCGUGGGGGAUGGGGAGUUGGGGUGUUGCAAAAGACACAAUACAUGAAUGAUCUCAGGUAAUUCUCAGGCAACCCCCGGAGGCUGGUGUUGCUAGCACCCCUCUGCAGGAGAAGAAGCUGGGGCUCGGGAGCUGACUGGAUCUGCUUAAAG